rnacentral:lncRNA from 1 species
UCUCACCAUUUCAGUCUGAGUUGGAUGUAAUUGCCAAAACGGUGCUGCCAAGAUGUAGACACAAAACAGUAAUAUAUUUUGUGAUAUUACAAAAUCCCAUGAUAGGAUUAUCUCACGAGAUCUCGCUUUCUUCCGGAAGUUCUGGAACAAUGAGCAGGCAACCAUGAGGAGAGGAGAGGACUCGAAGAGUACUCUCGGAGAGAGAUGUAUCGAUAUAUAUUAUAUAAAAUCUACUGUUGGAUGCUGUGAAGAGGUGGAGACUCUGAAGUGGAUGCAGCAAGGGCAGAACACCUGAAGCUCGGUCCAGGAAGAGCUGGGGGUGGAGGUUACAAGAAAUGAGCCAAACAACUGUAGUGUGUUAGGGAUAGUUCACCCAAAAAUGAAAAUAGUCAUAAUUUUCUCACCCUCAUGUUACGAUCAUAAUCAUUAUUUCUAUAAUGGCGGUUAAUGGAUUGUGAGAUCUGCUUGGUUACAAACAUUCUUCCAAAUAUCUUUGUGUUUAUAAGACUGUAAGUCAAUAACAAGAUUAAUAAAGACAUGAUAAAAAGAAACUUUUACAUUCUAGUAGAAAACAUGUGAACGCAUUCUCAGAAAUGUAAAUUUUGAAUUCAUGUCGCUUCUAUACAGUUUAACAUCAUUUAUGCUACUUUGAUUUUAUAAAUAGCAAUGAUUUCAAACUUAUUUUAUGAUGAGGGUCUUAUGUUUUAUAUUAUUAUAUAUUAAAAACAUUAAUAAACAAAUACUGCGAAAAUAGAUAUUUUUGACAAUAAUAAUGGACUUCAAGAUUGAGCAUUUCAGCACUUUUUAUUCCGUCAUGACCCUCAUUAAAUCAUAUUUCUGAUGAUCCAAAAUGGAUACAAAGAUUACAUUGAAAAACAAAUUUUUAAAAUAGAUUUUUAUCAUCUUGAAGAUUCUUAUUUGUCAUUGUCCCAGUAAAGCAAACGUAAAAACAAUAUUGUCAGAACAUAGAAAGGUAUACAGGUUUGAAACAUGAGGGUGAGUCAAUGACAGAAUUUUCCCUUUAUAUAAUAAUUCAUCAUUUUGUAAUUGGUAUUUUAGUUUGGUAAACAGAUGCUAAACUGUUCAAAAACAAUAAAAUGUGCUAAAUCAGGACAUGCUUCUUUUUUUGCAUAUGUCCACAAAUAAUGUGUUAUUGUUUGUGAUGUACACUUGAUUAAGAUGUUUUAUGGACGUUCAGGUCUGACUGGACCGAUCUUGAACUUUUGUCAAGAUGUGUUAAACCUCAAGAC